rnacentral:rRNA from 1 species
ACCCGCACAAGCAGCGGAGCGUGUGGUUUAAUUCGAUGCUACACGAAGAACCUUACCAAGGUUUGACAUGUAAGUGGUAGUGAUCUGAAAAGUGAACGACCCUUCGGGGAGCUUACACAGGUGCUGCAUGGCUGUCGUCAGCUCGUGUCGUGAGAUGUUCGGUUAAGUCCGCUAACGAGCGCAACCCUCACUGUGUGUUACAUGUGUCACACGGGACUGCCGGUUUUAAGCCGGAGGAAGGCGAGGAUGACGUCAAGUCAGCAUGGCCUUUAUAUCUUGGGCUACACACACGCUACAAUGGUCUGCACAAUAGGUUGCCAAGCCGCGAGGCGGAGCCAAUCCAUAAAGCAGGCCUCAGUUCAGAUUGCAGGCUGCAACCCGCCUGCAUGAAGAUGGAGUUGCUAGUAACCGCAGGUCAGCUAUACUGCGGUGAAUACGUUCCCGGGUCUU